AGAAUGAGUCUGGCGGUCCCAUGCGACCUACUUCCCAAUGGGUAUGUGUCCUUCUAAACAUCUGGAUUUCCCGUAGCUGCCGAACGCCAAGCUGGGAGAGUGCGUCUGCUCAUUUUACAGAUCGGAGCACGGUCAUCGGCAAGUGCUAUUUCCACCACCGUUGGAGUGACAAGCUUUCAGAUAUCCUGGCCCGAGGACUUCAUGCCCGCCAUAACUGCCAAUAAACUCCACCGGUGACACCUGCUGCGGUCUCGCCGCGCUACCACUUCACUGGGGCGUUCCGUGGCGCUACCAGAGCUGCAAAAAAUUAUCCGCCCGGCCCCGCGUUUCACUUCGCCGCAGGAGCCGUGGAAACGAGGAAACUCCGCAUUCAGAUAUCCUGGCACGAGGACUUCAUGCCCGUCAUGACUUCCAAUCAACAUCACCGAGGACACCUGCUGAAGUCUCCCAGCGUUACCACAUCACUCGGUCGUUCCAUGGCGCGAACAGCACUGCAACAAGGCUCCACCCGGCCCCAUGCUUCACUUAGCCGCAGGAUCCGCGGCAACGAGGA